AAUAUUUGAAUGAAUCAAAUUAAAUAUUUGAAUGAAUCAUAUUGAACAAAUUCAUAGACAGCUGAAUCAUAUUAAACAUACUCGUAGGCAGCUAGGCUACUAAUAAACGGAGGAUUCCUUUUAGGCAACGUACGCCUGGUAAGACAGGACUACGGUGUAGAACAUCUUCAGAUGUCAGAUGUCAGACAUCAGAUGAAAAGGCUUCAGGUCUCAGGAAAACAUCUGUCUCAGACAUCAGAAGCAAGACCACCAGUGUCCUCCAGUCCCGGGCGAUCUCUCUGACCAGACACUCAAGUGGCAACUCUGAAUCAGCAGCAGUCGGACUUCAGGAAGGCAGGGGUUCUCACUCUUCCAACCCGGGCCCACCAAAACCAUUCUACAGUGCAUGAAGCACAAUACAUAGCCAUGUUCUAGGCUACUGCUCUUCAUACUAUUCAUCCUGCACAUACACUAAUUCUACCUACUUUUAUAUUGUUACUGUUUCUGCAUUGCAAUGCCAGGCCUACUGUUACCACACUGCACAUA